rnacentral:rRNA from 1 species
CCUACGGGUGGCAGCAGUGAGGAAUAUUGGUCAAUGGACGAGAGUCUGAACCAGCCAAGUAGCGUGAAGGAUGACUGCCCUAUGGGUUGUAAACUUCUUUUAUAUGGGAAUAAAACAGGGUAUGCAUACCCUCUUUUAUGUACCAUAUGAAUAAGGCUCGGCUAACUCCGUGCCCGCAGCCGCGGUAAUACGGAGGAUCCGAGCGUUAUCCGGAUUUAUUGGGUUUAAAGGGAGCGUAGGUGGAUUGUUAAGUCAGUUGUGAAAGUUUGCGGCUCAACCGUAAAAUUGCAGUUGAAACUGGCAGUCUUGAGUACAGUAGAGGUGGGCGGAAUUCGUGGUGUAGCGGUGAAAUGCUUAGAUAUCACGAAGAACUCCGAGUGCGAAGGCAGCUCACUGGACUGCAACUGACACUGAUGCUCGAAAGUGUGGGUAUCAAACAGGAUUAGAUACCCCUGUAGUC